UACGGAGGGUGCGAGCGUUGUCCGGAAUCACUGGGCGUAAAGGGCGCGUAGGUGGCGCGGGAAGUCAACGGUGAAAGUUCAGGGCUCAACCCUGAAUCGGCCGUCGAUACUCCCGGGCUUGAGCACUGUAGAGGCAGAUGGAAUUCCGGGUGUAGCGGUGGAAUGCGUAGAGAUCCGGAAGAACACCGGUGGCGAAGGCGGUCUGCUGGGCAGUUGCUGACACUGAUGCGCGACAGCGUGGGGAGCAAACAGG
rnacentral:rRNA from 1 species